UACAGAGGGGGCAAGCGUUGUCCGGACUUACUGGGCGUAAAGGGCACGUAGGUGGUGCGCCAAGACCUGUGUGAAAUCGGACGGCUUAACCGUGCGGCGCCACAGGUGACUGGUGGACUCGAGGCAUGCAGAGGCUGGUGGAAUUGCCGGUGUAGUGGUGAAAUGCGUAGAGAUCGGCAGGAACACCAAGGGGGAACCCAGCCAGCUGGGCAUGACCUGACACUGAGGUGCGACAGCGUGGGGAGCGAACAGG
rnacentral:rRNA from 1 species